GAUGAACGCUGGCGGCGUGCCUAAUACAUGCAAGUCGAGCGAACAGAUAAGGAGCUUGCUCCUUUGACGUUAGCGGCGGACGGGUGAGUAACACGUGGGUAACCUACCUAUAAGACUGGAAUAACUCCGGGAAACCGGGGCUAAUGCCGGAUAACAUUUAGAACCGCAUGGUUCUAAAGUGAAAGAUGGUUUUACUAUCACUUAUAGAUGGACCCGCGCCGUAUUAGCUAGUUGGUAAGGUAACGGCUUACCAAGGCAACGAUACGUAGCCGACCUGAGAGGGUGAUCGGCCACACUGGAACUGAGACACGGUCCAGACUCCUACGGGAGGCAGCAGUAGGGAAUCUUCCGCAAUGGGCGAAAGCCUGACGGAGCAACGCCGCGUGAGUGAUGAAGGUCUUCGGAUCGUAAAACUCUGUUAUUAGGGAAGAACAAAUGUGUAAGUAACUGUGCACGUCUUGACGGUACCUAAUCAGAAAGCCACGGCUAACUACGU
rnacentral:rRNA from 1 species